UGAUGAUGGUGAUGAUGAUGAUGAUGAUGAUGAUGAUGAUGAUGAUGAUGAAAGUGAAAUAUCAACAUCAUCAUCACCAUCACCAUCAUGUAGUAUG
rnacentral:pre_miRNA from 1 species